rnacentral:miRNA from 1 species
AGAGCUACAGAGUCUGAGAGC